GCAGGCCUAACACAUGCAAGUCGAACGGUAACAGGAAACAGCUUGCUGUUUCGCUGACGAGUGGCGGACGGGUGAGUAAUGUCUGGGAAACUGCCUGAUGGAGGGGGAUAACUACUGGAAACGGUAGCUAAUACCGCAUAACGUCGCAAGACCAAAGAGGGGGACCUUCGGGCCUCUUGCCAUCAGAUGUGCCCAGAUGGGAUUAGCUAGUAGGUGGGGUAACGGCUCACCUAGGCGACGAUCCCUAGCUGGUCUGAGAGGAUGACCAGCCACACUGGAACUGAGACACGGUCCAGACUCCUACGGGAGGCAGCAGUGGGGAAUAUUGCACAAUGGGCGCAAGCCUGAUGCAGCCAUGCCGCGUGUAUGAAGAAGGCCUUCGGGUUGUAAAGUACUUUCAGCGGGGAGGAAGGGAGUAAAGUUAAUACCUUUGCUCAUUGACGUUACCCGCAGAAGAAGCACCGGCUAACUCCGUGCCAGCAGCCGCGGUAAUACGGAGGGUGCAAGCGUUAAUCGGAAUUACUGGGCGUAAAGCGCACGCAGGCGGUUUGUUAAGUCAGAUGUGAAAUCCCCGGGCUCAACCUGGGAACUGCAUCUGAUACUGGCAAGCUUGAGUCUCGUAGAGGGGGGUAGAAUUCCAGGUGUAGCGGUGAAAUGCGUAGAGAUCUGGAGGAAUACCGGUGGCGAAGGCGGCCCCCUGGACGAAGACUGACGCUCAGGUGCGAAAGCGUGGAGAGCAAACAGGAUUAGAUACCCUGGUAGUCCACGCCGUAAACGAUGUCGACUUGGAGGUUGUGCCCUUGAGGCGUGGCUUCCGGAGCUAACGCGUUAAGUCGACCGCCUGGGGAGUACGGCCGCAAGGUUAAAACUCAAAUGAAUUGACGGGGGCCCGCACAAGCGGUGGAGCAUGUGGUUUAAUUCGAUGCAACGCGAAGAACCUUACCUGGUCUUGACAUCCACGGAAGUUUUCAGAGAUGAGAAUGUGCCUUCGGGAACCGUGAGACAGGUGCUGCAUGGCUGUCGUCAGCUCGUGUUGUGAAAUGUUGGGUUAAGUCCCGCAACGAGCGCAACCCUUAUCCUUUGUUGCCAGCGGUCCGGCCGGGAACUCAAAGGAGACUGCCAGUGAUAAACUGGAGGAAGGUGGGGAUGACGUCAAGUCAUCAUGGCCCUUACGACCAGGGCUACACACGUGCUACAAUGGCGCAUACAAAGAGAAGCGACCUCGCGAGAGCAAGCGGACCUCAUAAAGUGCGUCGUAGUCCGGAUUGGAGUCUGCAACUCGACUCCAUGAAGUCGGAAUCGCUAGUAAUCGUGGAUUAGAAUGCCACGGUGAAUACGUUCCCGGGCCUUGUACACACCGCCCGUCACACCAUGGGAGUGGGUUGCAAAGGAAGUAGGUAGCUUAACCUUCGGGAGGGCGCUUACCACUUUGUGAUUCAUGACUGGGGUGAAGUCGUAACAAGGUAACCGUAGGGGAACCUGCGGUUG
rnacentral:rRNA from 1 species